CCUACGGGAGUCUGCAGUGAGGAAUAUUGGUCAAUGGACGAGAGUCUGAACCAGCCAAGUAGCGUGAAGGAUGACUGCCCUAUGGGUUGUAAACUUCUUUUAUAUGGGAAUAAAAUGUUCCACGUGUGGGAUUUUGUAUGUACCAUAUUAAUAAGGAUCGGCUAACUCCGUGCCAGCAGCCGCGGUAAUACGGAGGAUCCGAGCGUUAUCCGGAUUUAUUGGGUUUAAAGGGAGCGUAGGUGGAUUGUUAAGUCAGUUGUGAAAGUUUGCGGCUCAACCGUAAAAUUGCAGUUGAAACUGGCAGUCUUGAGUACAGUAGAGGUGGGCGGAAUUCGUGGUGUAGCGGUGAAAUGCUUAGAUAUCACGAAGAACUCCGAUUGCGAAGGCAGUUCACUGGACUGCAACUGACACUGAGGCUCGAAAGUGUGGGUAUCAAACAGGAUUAGAUACCCCAGUAGUC
rnacentral:rRNA from 1 species